rnacentral:lncRNA from 10 species
GGUAUAUACACUGUUUUUUAGACAUAAAUCGUAUCAAUAAUCUCAGUAACCCUUCUGAAAAUAUUCAAGGCACCACCCUCAUCAAAUAUUGCCCGAAGUCUGCUUAUUGAACGGCUUCUAAGAAACUGUACCAUCACUUGAAAGCAGGCCAGGCGUGGUGGCUCACAUCUGUAAUCCCAGCACUUUGGGAGGAUUACAGGCAUGAGCCACCGUGCCCGGCCUGUAACUACUUAAGAUUAGUCAUAUAGAAUGUGAAAAACUACGCUUACUGAAGUAUGAUGGAGAAAGGUCUAGCUGAAUUUUCACUAACUGAGGUUCUUAAUAUGGGGAGUCCAUAGAGAAUUCAGGGAUCUGUGAAUAUGGAUGGGAACCUUUUCACUAACCUCUAUACAAAAAUUAACAAUUCCUUCAAUCAAGAAUAUUAGUAACAAACUACAGUAGUAUUAGAAAACCUAUGAAUUUGUCAU